GAUGGACGCUGGCGGCGUGCCUAAUACAUGCAAGUCGAGCGAACAGACGAGGAGCUUGCUCCUCUGACGUUAGCGGCGGACGGGUGAGUAACACGUGGAUAUCCUACCUAUAAGACUGGGAUAACUUCGGGAAACCGGAGCUAAUACCGGAUAAUAUAUUGAACCGCAUGGUUCAAUAGUGAAAGACGGUUUUGCUGUCACUUAUAGAUGGAUCCGCGCCGCAUUAGCUAGUUGGUAAGGUAACGGCUUACCAAGGCAACGAUGCGUAGCCGACCUGAGAGGGUGAUCGGCCACACUGGAACUGAGACACGGUCCAGACUCCUACGGGAGGCAGCAGUAGGGAAUCUUCCGCAAUGGGCGAAAGCCUGACGGAGCAACGCCGCGUGAGUGAUGAAGGUCUUCGGAUCGUAAAACUCUGUUAUUAGGGAAGAACAAAUGUGUAAGUAACUAUGCACGUCUUGACGGUACCUAAUCAGAAAGCCACGGCUAACUACGUG
rnacentral:rRNA from 1 species